UUUGGGCUUCGUGCUUGGUGGGCUUGCAAACAUAGAAAGGGAAUUAUGCCACAAGUAACCCAUUUCCUCUUCUGUUGCACCACAUAAAUGCUGCAGUCUGUUAAUAUUACAAAAACAAGUCUCACUUUCCUGUAAGCCAGCACACUGAGUGGAAAGAACAAUCCACUUUGGGGCAAACUUUGUGUUAGGUCUGCAGAAUUUGACAUGUUACUGUUGAAUUUAGACCAAAACCAAAAAAGUCGACGUUUUUGAAAGCAUAUGCAAAAAGGUGCAUGCAUGCAAAACUGUAUAGAUCUUUGAUUUUCACAAAACCAAAACAACAAUAUGUAAAGACAUCCUUACUGUCCCUAUUAGGGUCUACAUUUUAUAAACAUCAUCAUCCUGCCCACCUGCUCACACUAAACUUUUGUGAAUUUAUCGUGUUGCUUUUAGGAGGCCGGGAAGUCUCAAAGGAAAAUUUGGUGGUUUACGUUCACACAUGAAGCCCACUACAAGACUUUUUAGGACUUUGAGGAGUUUUGCGCAUGUUUGAAUGCAGCUAAAGGUACUUUUAUGAAACUUCGACUAGCUGCUGUGUUUGUGUUAGGGUGACCAUAUUCUGACUUCCCAAAAAGAGGACACGACUACACAGGGGCGGAGUCACAGAGGCGCACUAAGUUAAUUUUGAGAGUUUUUCGUGUCAUAUCAAGAGUCUUUUACGCACUUCUAACUCAGUAAGUCCAUGUGACACAAACUCGAAACUUCCGUACAAAACUGCGAACAUUUUAAGGAUUUUAUAAACUUCCACGGACAAAGCCGGACAAGCUCGGGCAGCCCCCUAAAAAGAGGACAUGUCAGGGUAAGAGAGGACGUAUGGUCACCCUAGCUUGUGCAAACAGCAUAUCUUCUCGUCACAUUCGGUCCUCUGCUUUGGCUUGAAUGCAAUCAUGUUUUAGGAGUUUAUGUGACAACAGUAUCAUUGUAACUGAUGCACAGAUUUAAAAAAGUCAGGAAUGUUCAAAAGAACCAGAAUGACUAAAUUAUUUGACUACAAAGUUGCUGUUGGCUUUAGUCAAAGUGUGGAUUAAAAACAGGCAGAGGGAAAUUAGCAGACAUGACAAGAGAAGAAAUGAUGCUGCUGGUUUCCACUCUGAGGUUGGGUGGUGGUGGUGGUGGUGAUGGUGGGAGGAGGAACAGAUUAUGCAGAAAACCACUUCCAGAGGAAGUGUGUUUUAAUGCUGACCAGGUUCCUGCAGAGGCUGUUAUGGUAAUCUGCCCCCUCCUCUUGUCAAACACUGCAGAACGUCUGCGGUGGAAGAGGGGAAAUGCACCAUGAAAACCUAUAGCUCCGGCCAGCAGAGAGAGAGAGAAAGAGAGGGGGGGGUUACAGUGCAGAGGAAGCCCACAGGAAGCAAACACGGCAUGUUUUUUAUCCCUGCAAUGCCAACACUGCUGCACUCUUACCCCGCUCUGACCUGUCUGAGGGGGGUGACAUCUUGUUUUCAGAGUGGACUUCAUCCGCCCCCACAACCCCCCCAUGCCACGUCCACACACACACACACACACACACACAAACAACCACUCACACAUUAUAGCACCACACCAGAUUUUACAGCUGGAUGAAGAGCAUCAAUGGGAGCAGUGAGCGAGCAGCCAGACAAUGGACAAGGCGUUCAGGCCGGCACGCCAACCCUGGAUUUCCUGGCUUACAUCACAAAAAAUUGUCAGAUCCUUCCGGCGGCACAAUAGAGACAAACACUCUUGUAUUUAUGAGAAAAAGAGAGCACGCUGGGUAAUCACACAUCCAAACAGGUGGAGUGAAUAUCAGAUUUUGCUGGCUGCAGCACAUUAAUAUGAAGCUGUUUGUCUUUGACGGUGAUUUACUGAAGGGUCUGCCGCCUCAGUGCCAGGCGACCAGGGCAGUCUGACACAACAAGGCUUAAAAAAGCAAACAGACGCAGAGAAUGAGCGGUGCCUUCAAACGCAAGCGCCACCCGGACAUCAAACGCUCCGAAUCUGACCCAAUCCUCCCUUUCACUGCGGCAUGAGCCUGCAUGGAAGCUGUCAGGCCUCGUUAACGGAGAGACGCCCACCGCCAGCCUGUCUGCCGUCCCAACCGUCUGACUGUCUGACUGCUGGUGAGUCAGGGGCAGCUUUCUGUCUGCAUCUCUGCCCCUCUGUCUGUCGCCGGAUUUCUGUUUGUCUGCCCCUAGAUACACAAGUUGUCCCUGAGAUUUAACAAGGAGAAGGGCAGAGGGAGCAGGAAGGCUGGAUUAGCAGAGGGGCGAAAUGUAAGGAUUAGACCGACAGGAAGGAGGGAAGAUUAAGGGGACACUCGUAAAAAAGGACAAGGUGAAUAAACAGCCUCACAUUGUUCAUUUUGUUUUUAUCACUUAGGGAUUCAGACUUUGUUCGUUAUUCACAUUGUGUCACUUUUUUAAAGAAGAUCUGCAAAAAUGACUCAUAAUGCAGAAGAACGCAUAUUUAUUCCGUCGUAAAAUUAAUUUAGGGUCAAACAACACAGAGUUAGACUCAUUCGACUCAUGUUCUAUCAUAGACUGUAUAUACUAUGGACAACUUAGUUCCCCCUUCUACCAGUAUACAGAUUUGAAGCUGAAGAAUCCCUGAACCCCCAUAGGCUGUAUCAGGUGUCAAUCAUAGCAAACAUGAACCCCCUAAUAACUUUUAAAAAUGGAGCUUCACAGAAAAAAGAGGACUUGAGCACAAACCAGUCUUACAAUAACUACAUGUCAACAUCACAAGCAGGGGGGAGAAAAAUGUAUAUUCUGUGUCAUAAAUUUCUAAAGUUUGUCCACAGCUCCAUAGGGAUUGCUGGAGGAGGUGGGAUUUAUGACCUAUACUGCAGCCCGUCACCAGAGGGUGCUGUUCUCGGAGUGGCUUCACCCAGCGAGGAGGCAGACGUCGUCCAUUCUAUAUAUAGUCUAUGUGUACUAUCUAUCAACAUGAGGUGGGGUUUAUUACCUGUAAAGAAAACUUUAAAGUGUGGUGUCAUUUUUCUGCCACCUGAGUGUUGCUCCACACCACAGCUCGCAUAUCAUUUAUUCCAGAGUGACAUAAAAACAAACUCUCUUGAGUGACGCUCACCACCCUGCUCACCUUUGACUUCCUGUAAACCCACUCUGAGUUCUCUGAUCUCCUGAGGGGCAGAGCAUCAGGGAUCCCUUCAUCCUUCCUGCCCUCCCCUCUCUCUCUCUCCAUCCCAUCAUCCUUUAUUUCCUCCUCUUCUUUGCAGGGGGAACAUAAGCCUCUUAUCGAAAGGCUUCAGGGGAGCUGAGUGGCUCGCAAACUGUUUAAAAUGUAUUGCUUUCACACAUAUGGCAGCUGUUAUGUGGAAAGCAAUGCUUAAAAGCUAAGUACUUGAACAUAGAUUAAGUCUCCUCUAAUUUUUAGAACAAGUACCACAGUUCAAGUAAAAUUUUAACUAAUACUAAUGAAUAAAAGCCACAAGACCAACUCUGGUUCUGCCGAGGUAAAGAGACGCUGAGCAGCAUCUUCCUCCUGGAUAUAAAUUCAGCCCUACAGGUGGCUCAGUCUUGCCCUGGGGAGGUGAAAACUCUCCCUUGGAGAGUAACGGAGGCAGACAGAGGAGGUUUUUGUGCUAAAGGGAAACGAGAGAAGCCGCCGAUUAUCAGCACCAAAGGCGAAAAGAUCCCCUCAUUCCUAAAACCCCCUGAGCAGGGCUCUGAAGCCUUACAUGCUCUUUUAUCCCCCCUGAUUUGAAACACAAAAGCUCCUCAUGAGCGUGACUCUGAGGGAGAGCUGGAGUGAGCUGUGAAAAAAAUCCUAAUCCUGCUCUUAAUUGCUCAAACAAAAACUCCUCCAUUUCAUCUCAGCGAAGUCAGAAAGUUUCAUAGAGGCAGUGCCAGCGGUUCGUGACGUCAGCGUCUGAGGAAAGUUUGUUCUGUGCAGAGAGGCUGAGGGGAGUUUGAGAUGACUGGAAUCAGAAAUACAAAACACAGAAAUUCCUUUACUCUCUGUGUGAUUGCAACAACAAAAACAACAACGGGACAAGACUUGAAAGACAAAAAAACAGAUCCAAUCCAUAUGCUGAAAAAAAGAGAGAAAAUGCAUGAAAAUGUGAUGAAAAUUAAACAUUUAUUUAUUACUGAAAACAAAUAUCUGCAUGUACUUGCUGCAGCCCGAGCACUGACCAGGAGAGAUGAGCCCAUCUCCUCUGUUUUAGUUUCUCUUCACCGAUUUCCUGUCAAAUUUAGGGAAGGAUUUAAAAUUCUUCUUCUGACCUACAAAGCA
rnacentral:lncRNA from 1 species